ensembl:lncRNA
ACUGUGUAAACACUACAUUGUGUACAUGUUUUAUUUUGUAAAGGUUUGGUAAGGGAAUGAUUCUACAUUAACUGAGUCUCCUUGUCUGUGUUAGGUUUUCUCGAAACUUCAAACAGCAGUAGCAGAAGAAAAGGCACAUUUGAUGAAAAACACCCGGAGAAGAUUUCAAACACGAUAAAAGAAGAGAAGCUGAUUGUGUUAUGAUUCAUGGGAGAGAAGAGCUGAAUAGAUACAUCACAGACAAAUCUAACUACAAGUGAGCUUAAUGAAAGCUAAUACAAACUUCCAAGAUCAUUCUAAUCCUUUUUGAAAAACAGAAGAAGUACAAGGAGGUCAAACAGAAGGUAAACAGAUGAGCAAAGAGGCAAAACUAUGUGCAUGCUGUUCUGACUGGACACAGGUGACAUUAGCGAGAGCACGGCACACAGUCACAUGAAGAAAAGGAAGCAAAAACAGAUAAUCAGUAUGUGGCUCUGGGUGGUUUUUGCCUAAAAAGACUGGGAAUUCUAAAAUAUUAUGGCUUCUACUUGGAGUGCAGGUGCUGUAUUAAAGAAAAAAGAAAAAUUAAAGAAAAAAAAGGUGGACCUCACUAAUGUCUAAACUGGUUUCAAUCCUGCCUAGAAACAGGGGGAAGCAAGUCUUGAUAAUAAGACAGGCAGUAACUGAAACAAAAAGGCAGGGAACAGAGGAAACUACAGGAAAGCACACAAGUCACUUGAAAAUAACAUUAGAAACAAAUAAGGGAUACAAUAGAGACCGCGAUAUGUGUGCCUGUGCGUGCAUACGUGCAACCAGUAUAUAUGUGUGUGUGUGUGUGUGUGUGUGUGUGUGUGUGUGUGUGUGCAAAAACACAGAGAACAAAGAAGAGGAAAUGAACAAAAUGAGAUGGCAUGUGCAAAGUAAAUGGCACAAUUUGAUUAACAAAUGUGUCCAAAGCAUAAUUUUAGAGAACAACAGUGUUACAUUUGAACAGUGUGGCUCUGCUGGAGCACACCCAAAUCUACCUUUACUUCACAGAGUCUUUGGUAUGUUCAUUAUUAACUUGUCAGGGUAAAAUGAGUCAGGACUGAUUCAGUGGGUGCAUGAAUUAGCAACCCAUUUACAACACUACAAUGGGCAUCAAUUAAUGCUAGGCUGUUGGCUUGUGGAAAACAAGUCCAGCUUAGUUUGAAUAAUUUGUGAUUUGAUUUGUGUAACAAAAUCUGGAAUUUGUUAUUUUGUGUUAGUCAUGAAGAUGCAUGCAUGUGUAACCUGUUACUGAUGUUGUUUUAGACUCAAGUAAACCCAUUAUCAGUACUGGACAUGGCAAGGGAGCUUGAGUUUGUGUGAUGCUAGGUGACCUGGAAGUAAAAAGUAACAGAAGGCAUUCCCGCCCACUGGCUUCAGUGUCACUGGGCUGCCC